UACGUAGGUGGCGAGCGUUUGUCCGGAUUUACUGGGGCGUAAAGAGCUCGUAGGCGGUUUGUCGCGUCGGCCGUGAAAUCUCCACGCUUAACGUGGACGUGCGGUCGAUACGGGGCGAGACUUGAGUUCGGUAGGGGAGACUGGAAUUCCUGGUGUAGCGGUGAAAUACGCAGAUAUCGAGGAGGAACACCGGUGGCGAAGGCGGGUCUCUGGGCCGA
rnacentral:rRNA from 1 species